rnacentral:miRNA from 1 species
CAGAGAAUUGUUUAAUC